rnacentral:siRNA from 1 species
UGAGGUGCUGUGUGUAACUGAUA